rnacentral:rRNA from 1 species
AGUAACACGUGACCAAUCUGCCCUUCACUUUGGGAUAACCCUCGGAAACGAGAGCUAAUACCGAAUACGACCACCUCAGGCAUCUGAUGGUGGUGGAAAGUUCCGGCGGUGAAGGAUGAGCUCGCGGCCUAUCAGCUUGUUGGUGAGGUAAUGGCUCACCAAGGCUUCGACGGGUAGCCGGCCUGAGAGGGUGACCGGCCACACUGGGACUGAGACGCGGUCCGG